rnacentral:rRNA from 1 species
ACAGCAGUAGCCGCGGUAAUACGAAGGGUGCAAGCGUUAAUCGGAAUUACUGGGCGUAAAGCGUGCGUAGGCGGCUAAUUGAGUCGGAUGUGAAAUCCCCGAGCUUAACUUGGGAAUUGCAUUCGAUACUGGUUAGCUAGAGUGUGGGAGAGGAUGGUAGAAUUCCAGGUGUAGCGGUGAAAUGCGUAGAGAUCUGGAGGAAUACCGAUGGCGAAGGCAGCCAUCUGGCCUAACACUGACGCUGAGGUACGAAAGCAUGGGGAGCAAACAGGAUUAGAUACCCCUGUAGUCCCUGUCUCUUAUAA